UACAGAGGGGGCAAGCGUUGUUCGGAUUUACUGGGCGUAAAGGGCGCGUAGGCGGCCACCGCAAGUCAAUUGUGAAAUCUCCGGGCUUAACUCGGAAAGGUCAACUGAUACUGCGGGGCUAGAGUGCGGAAGGGGCAACUGGAAUUCUCGGUGUAGCGGUGAAAUGCGUAGAUAUCGAGAGGAACACCUGCGGCGAAGGCGGGUUGCUGGGCCAUACCUGACGCUGAGACGCGAAAGCGUGGGGAGCAAACAGG
rnacentral:rRNA from 1 species